rnacentral:sRNA from 1 species
UGUAUGUGUUUGAUAAUAAUUUUUCUUGC